ensembl:lncRNA
UACUGGGUUAUGUUAAGGGAACGCCGAUACCACAAAAUGAUGAAAAGCAGAGAGGAGAAAAUGUUUCUAUGCCUCCAACAGCAACAAAACCAGCGGUAAGAAGAGUUUCCCAGGCAGAAAUGCAGCCUUGUGUUUGAAGGCUGUAUUAGUAAACAGGGUAAGCCUUACCAUAGGUGGGGCUAAACAUGCCGUGGUUUGCACUAUCUCCAUCUUUGCAUCAAGUGAGGAGGCCCAUAGACAGGUCCGUCCUACAGGCAGGGUCUGGAGGCUCCCUGUGCUUACAGAUACCAUCUUUAACUGUUAACUUCACGUUCUGUAAACAGAAAAAGCAAGUGGCAUACUAUGAGAGGCCCCACUGCUCCCAGGAACAGCAUUAUCAGGCUUAGAAAAAGAACCAACACACAGCUGCCCUACAAUGUUGCUUGUUGGGGAUUUCAUUUUUUUCUGCUAAAAUUAAAACGGUGUCUCCUGAAAUCAUCACUGCAGCAAUAGCUGCAUUAUUUGUAUGGGCACACUGGAGGCACAGCUCUGGUGGUAUCUGCUGCAAGAGCACAGCGUUUGUGUGCGCAGUACCUUGGGGUGACCCCAACCCACCCAUCAUCCAAACCAAAUGCAGGCAUUCAGUACAGAAGGAAUUUUCCCAGCACUAUUUAAGGAGACUUCAAGUGGAGGAGAAGAAAAAGAGAAAUAAGACAUGCAAGGCGUUUUAUAAAGAUGUGUUUUAACUUCUAAGGCAGUCAGGAACCAUGGUGAUGAAUGUGACACAAACUUAAAUUGCUCAGAUACGAGCUCUGAUCCACUGGGAACCAUCCUCAGAUUCAUAAAGAGCAUCAAAUGCUAAUAGCUUCUAAUCAGAACCUACCUGGGCCCGAUUUAACCAGUGACAUACAGCUGAAAGCCCAUGGGAUGCAUUUUGAUUUAAAUGUCAUCCAUCCCUUCGGCAAUGUGAAGUGACCUCGGGCUUAAAUGAGCAUCUCUGCAAUUUUAUGCCAUUGGGAAGUUAAAUGCAGUAUCUUGCCCAAAGUGCAGGGCAAUUUGAUUGAUGCCAAAAUGAACUCACUUUUUUUUGCCCCCAGUAUUUCGUUUCUUCUCUGCUCAGCAUUCUGACUGACUUUACAGGAAGCUUAUGGUGGUUUAUAGAUUAUGGACUUAAAAGUGGUGAACAGAUAGCUAUAUUUGUUUUGAGCACCCCACGGAGAGCAAAAACAGUCCUUAACUGCAGAACUACGCUGUCCGUAACAACCUUGGACUCACACUGGAUGUCGUUCUGCCGCUGUCACACUGUCACUGUCGUAGGGGAUGUCGUGUCAUGUUCUUGUCAGAUCUGAUGUUCACAAAUAUGAUACAGCUUGAAAACUUAGGUACAAUUUCAAGUCCUUUUAAUGCUCCUUAGUUUUAGAGAAGUCAUUUACAAUUAUAUCCUAAAUAUUUUAGAAGGAAUCCAUUUUACGGCAUCCUUAAAAUCUUAUAAAACUCUAACAGUUGUAAUUAACAUACUGACAUUUUGCUGCUAUGUAAAAUUAAGUUGCUUUUAUUUCUCAGCUGCAGUAGCAGCAGUAUCCAGGCACUGUCCUGCACUUCAGUAAUGGAAAUUUCCCAGCUUCAAAGCACACUUUGUCUCAGUUGGCUGCAGUAAAACCGAGUGAUUUCUAUAUUGUUGUGUGCUUCACUUGUCCUUAGUUAUCUGGAGCUUGUAUCUUUUGAAAACCAGCUUCUCCACGAGUCAGCUUCGCUUUGCUCAAGACUUCCAAUUCUGUAAACAAGCUAUGGAUGAUGCAAGUAUUGAGCCAGAGUUAUUCUGCAGGAGUGACAAAACACAUGCACAGUCAGUGUUUGCACAGAAUGUUAUGGUGACUUACGAGGACGUCGCUGCAGUCACAGUUUGCGUGUGCCGAAGUUCCAUGCACCAAAAGGCUACUGAGAUUUUACAGAACAGACUUAGCGUGUAAUAUCAGCCUCCUGAUCUCUCUGUUUUUGAUAUCAUCAGUUGCUAGACGAAUACACAAAAACACAAAAUAGGCAGUAAGAUUAUUACAAAACCUCACAAGGCUCAUGAUUUACAAAUACUUAAACACACUGUCUGUUUCCCCCAGUCACUCUCAGUUCCACUUCACACUGGACAAGGGAUGCCUCCAAUAAGGGCAGAAGUUAAAGAACAUAGACACAGGAUUAUUGGGGUUUUAUGUGGUCCAGAUAUUGCAGCAAUUUCAUUUUCAUUCUUUCUCACUCACAGUUAAAAAAUCAAGGGGGUAUGUGUGAUGAAGAGCUUGACUGAUGGGAGGAUAGAGAAGAAAGCAUCAGUCCUGAUAUCAGCCCAAUUGCAUUACACCUGGGGCAGACACAGAAGCACCUUCACUGAGAACCAGUUUAGGAAAUGAUACCAAACCUUCAUGACAAUGCUACUAGAACUUCAUUUCAAGUGAUGUUCUUAGCACUCGUUUUGGUUUAUAACAACCAUGUAGGUAGUGAUCUUGUGGUGGCACAAGUAUAAUUCCCCGCUGUCUGCUCCUGUUGUACAUAGCACUGUCUGAACAAGGCAUAGGAAACAGUGUGCCAGUGGGAUUCUGAGAUGCUCACAUAAAAGCCCAGAAUACAGACAGCACUGGUACAUCACACAACAAGAGCAUGGAGCCCUUAUGAGACAGCUUGGAGGCCUCAGCGCCGUUAUUGUGAAUAUAAAGUUUCCACAUAUGAACGGUCACUCUUAGCUUUCCCAUUGCUGCUCUUGGCAGACAAUAAGAGCUGACUGGAAAUGGAACAACUGUUUCCCUGCACCGGUCAGAGCCCAGCCUGCUGGCACAGAGUGGCAGAAGAGGCACUGCCCCAGGGCUUGGGCUGAGAUGCACUGCAGUACCUGCAGGGCAGUCUGCAUCGCUGCUCUCCAGGCAACACUAUGCUGCAGGAGGAAAGGUGGCAGCCUCUUCUCUUGCGCUUUGUUCAGUCUGCUGAUCAGAGCGCCCAAAGAGUCUGUACUGCAUAACUUUAAAGAUAGGAUAUAAAUUACAGACAUCAGUUCCCAGUCUAGCAAAUCAACAUUCAUUUUUAAAACAAUCGGUUCUUUUGCAGCUUUGCAUAUCUAUAGCAGAAAUGAGCCACGCAGGCAGGAGAGACUUCUUGAAGGAAGUGGUGUCGCAGUAUUUUGGAAAAAAAAAAAGCCAAGCUGUUGGAAUAUGUGCUGCAUUACAUGGGCAAUGCAGUACCUUGGAGUGCUUCCUGUUUACACCACACCACACCAUACAACUUGCAAGCAUUUGUUAAUAAACACUCCUAAGGAAAGAAUUAAUAAUAUCCAAGUAUACAGCCCCCUGCGGCACCUGUCGCUGUAAACGGGAAGUUUUCAUGAUAGUAUCAGGGGGUUGUUGGUGUGAGACAAGCAGCUUAUGAGGCCCAGUCCAUGUCCCACUGAAAUCCACACCGCAUCUCUCAUAGGGUCAUUGGAUCCCUGGCAUACUUUUUUUUCCCCUGUAAAUAUGUAAAUAGCAAUUCAUUUGAAUAAAUUUUUACUCUCAGCAUUUGUCAUUUUUGCAAACAUAGGAAUACGAAGCAUGAACUUCUGCAGAAACGCAGCACAGAGCCUGACAUGAUGAUGGCAAAAGUACAGCCUGCUCCUAAGAACAAUAAUCGGCAAGUUCUGAGGUGACCAAUCAAAUACAGACAUUGCUCCCACGAUCAGAGCAGCACUGCCUUGCUGCAUGAGCUUUCACACAGGACAGCUCAGUCCAGCUCUUGUAGCUCUCAUCAGACUAAGAGAAAGGCUGAACCUCAGAAGGAUGUUCCCUCCAGCCACCAGCACUAGAUCUAGCUAAAUUUCAUGUAAUUAAGACUUUUAUAGCAUUUUAACAAUGGGAAAAUUAUCUGCUUCCAUUACCAUUGUCUUACCUGACAUCAGCGGUUAUUACUUCAGAUAUGCAGAGCCCCACGACAAGAUGCCUUCUGUAAGUGCAAUACAUCCAUUGUAAUCAAGUGCUACAUUAUCUUACUACAGUACUGAGCCUAUGGGUCUUGUACAAGUGACACAAAAUUGUUGUGGGGAUCCAUCGGUGCCCUCAUUUCCCACUGUCAUUAUCAGAGCCCAAGUGAACCUUUGGCCUGGAAAUCUUUUGGCAAAAAGACCAGCAGCAAUGAAAGUAUUUCUGACUAUUUGACAAUAAGGGCUGCUUAAAUAAACAAACAAACAAACAAACAAAUCAUAGAAUCAUAGAAUCGCUAAGGUUGGAAAAGACCCACAGGAUCAUCCAGUCCAAUAAAUAAAUAAAAGGAAGAAGAAGGAAAGGGAAAAGAGAGAGCAGGAGAGAAUGCUGCUCUUGGAAGAACAUGGCAAAACAUCUAUAGAAUGACACUGUGCAUCUGAUUUUGAAGGUACAAUUAAUGGAGGUGGAGUAAGAUUAAGGGGCUGUGCUCUGCCAAGCAGUGUGUGCAGGAGAGCAGACAGCAGAUGCCCAGACACUUAGGCCUAUGCCUCUCAUGUUAGGCUGCAGUACGGAAGUGUGUGUGGAUAUUUAAUUGUAAUUCAUCUAUGAAUUGCUUGGGUUUAUGAAUCUGGGAAGCCCAUAUGCUGCAGCAAGAAAUGUGUGUUUAUUAGCACAGUAGUUCCACCAGCCUUUCC